GAGGUGGAUACACCGGGGGGCGCGGUGCGCGCGCUUCUGCCGCCCGCAAACCUGAGCGGUGUGCAGCCCCGGUUCGACCCAGUUCCGGCCUU
rnacentral:tRNA from 1 species